UAGCCAUGGGCAGGUUGAAGGUUGGGUAACACUAACUGGAGGACCGAACCGACUAAUGUUGAAAAAUUAGCGGAUGACCUGUGGCUGGGGGUGAAAGGCCAAUCAAACCGGGAGAUAGCUGGUUCUCCCCGAAAGCUAUUUAGGUAGCGCCUCGUGAAUUCAUCUCCGGGGGUAGAGCACUGUUUCGGCUAGGGGGCCAUCCCGGCUUACCAACCCGAUGCAAACUGCGAAUACCGGAGAAUGUUAUCACGGGAGACACACGGCGGGUGCUAACGUCCGUCGUGAAGAGGGAAACAACCCAGACCGCCAGCUAAGGUCCCAAAGUCAUGGUUAAGUGGGAAACGAUGUGGGAAGGCCCAGACAGCCAGGAUGUUGGCUUAGAAGCAGCCAUCAUUUAAAGAAAGCGUAAUAGCUCACUGGUCGAGUCGGCCUGCGCGGAAGAUGUAACGGGGCUAAACCAUGCACCGAAGCUGCGGCAGCGACGCUGAUGCGUUGUUGGGUAGGGGAGCGUUCUGUAAGCCUGUGAAGGUGGCCUGUGAGG
rnacentral:rRNA from 1 species